rnacentral:tRNA from 1 species
GGUUGUGGCUCAGUGGUAGAGUGCUUGCCUAGCAUGUGUGAAGCACUGGGUUCGAUCCUCAGCACCA